UAAGGUUUACCACCCUGAACAUACCCCAUCUCAUCUGAUCUCUGCAGCUAAGCAAGGUUGGGCCUGGUUAGUACUUGGAUGGGAGAAGCACGUAUGUAAACAGAAGGAAGAAGCCUUCC
ensembl:rRNA 5S_rRNA 5S ribosomal RNA